rnacentral:rRNA from 1 species
UCUCCUACGGGACGCAGCAGUGAGGGAUAUUGGUCAAUGGGGGAAACCCUGAACCAGCAACGCCGCGUGAGGGAAGACGGUUUUCGGAUUGUAAACCUCUGUCCUCUGUGAAGAUAAUGACGGUAGCAGAGGAGGAAGCUCCGGCUAACUACGUGCCAGCAGCCGCGGUAAUACGUAGGGAGCGAGCGUUGUCCGGAUUUACUGGGUGUAAAGGGAGCGUAGGCGGGGAUGCAAGUUGGGUGUCAAAACUACCGGCUCAACUGGUAGUCGCACUCAAAACUGCAGCUCUUGAGUGAAGUAGAGGC